UUUUGUUUUAGGCUGAAGCAGAUAUCAUUGACUCACUACAAAAAUACAGAGGGAGAUGUGAACCUACCUUCCUUUUCUAUGGAGGAGGACAGUUAGUUGCUGUUGUGAGAGGAGCAAAUGCCCCAUUACUACAGAAGAGCAUCCAUGAUCAACUACGCACUGAGAAGAAGGUGCUAAAGGAGGGAGCUGACCGCAAAGUGACCAAGCUGGUUAGCUACAUGAUAAAUAAUCACAUAGUUAUCAUAAAACAAAGAACUGUGGAUGCUGGGAGAUCUGAAACAAACAAAAACUUAAAAUGCUGGAGAAACUCAUCAAUUCUGAUGGCAUCGGUGGAGAGAAAACAGAGUUAAUGUUUCAAAUCUUGUAACCCUUCUUCAGGACAUAGUUGUUGGCAAGCAGAGGAACUUCGUCAUUGAGAAAUGACCACUAGUCAACAACUCAUCAGCUUCACUUAUAAACAAACCUUGACACCAGUUCAUCUACACAUUGCUACAAGCCACAGUGGCACAAAUUGGGCUCACAAUAGUUAUAAAUUGCUAAGUUUCAAAACAUGCAGCAAUUCUUGUGAAUGCCUGGCUUCCUUCUCAUUUCAGUCCACAGCUUUAAAAAACAUAAAAUAAA